rnacentral:rRNA from 1 species
CGUGUAGGCUGCCCUGCAAGUCGGAUGUGAAAGCCCUGGGCUCAACCCAGGAAGUGCAUUCGAAACUGCAGUGGCUUGAGUCCUGGAGAGGAUCGCGGAAUUCUCGGUGUAGAGGUGAAAUUCGUAGAUAUCGAGAGGAACACCGGUGGCGAAGGCGGCGAUCUGGACAGUGACUGACGCUGAGACGCGAAAGCGUGGGGAGCAAACA